UUUGAUUUGUACAUUUAAAUUUGUACAACACUUUUAGUAUACAGAUGUAAGUGUACGCUGUGUAUAUCUAUAUACAUAUGUAUACUAAAAGUAUUGUACAAAUCUAAAUGUACAAAUCAAA
rfam:Arabidopsis thaliana chromosome 5, complete sequence.